rnacentral:misc_RNA from 1 species
GUAUGUUAAAGCAGUCUAUCAUACCCGGGUUUCUGUUGGUAUGCGCUUUAGAAUGCUAUUUGAAACAGAAGCCCGGGUAUGAUAGACUGCUUUAACAUACUUCGCUACAUGGGUACAAUAACUGGCAUAAGUGACUUGGAUCCUGUAAGGUGGCCUAAUUCACAUUGGCGUUCUGUCAAGGUUGGUUGGGAUGAGUCCACAGCUGGAGAGAGGCAACCAAGAGUUUCCCUAUGGGAAAUUGAACCACUAACAACAUUCCCAAUGUAUC